rfam:Beta vulgaris subsp. vulgaris 0533.scaffold01098.con0002.1, whole genome shotgun sequence.
GGGUGCAAUCAUACCAGCACUAAUGUACCGGAUACAAUCAAAAUUCCGUAGUUAAGCGUGCUUGGGCGAGAGUAGUACUAGGAUGGGUGACCUCGUGUUGCAUCCC